rnacentral:rRNA from 1 species
AUCUAUGGCCAUGCUACCCUGAACAAGCCCGAUCCCAUCUGAUCUCAGAAGCUAAGCAGGGUCUAGCCUGGUUAGUGCUUGGAUGGGAGACCACCUAGGAAGACCAGGUGCUGUAGGUG